GAUUGCUGGCUUCUGCUGGUAGCAGGGAGGAAGUAGGGAGGUUUGGGGGCCAGGAGGGCCCCUUAGCUUCCAUGAUGCAUUAUGGACUCCUGACACUGGUCGGGAGGCUACUUGUGUGUAGGUGCCGUGCGAAGCUGUGCAAAGUGUACAGUCUACACAGGUGAAGAUCUGUACACAGAUAGUACAGCUAAGCACAUCACACAUCCAAGGAAUGUAGCGCCCUUUCCAACAGUGUUUCUGGGUUUUGAAAGAAGAUUUGACUUCUUCCAGUUGACAUUGAUGCCCGGGUCCUGUAGAAGCUGUAACACAAACUGGAGCUGCAAAUGUAACUUUUCUUUGUCACUGCUGACCAAAAGCCAAUCGUCUAAAGAUAGGAAGAUCACGAUGCCCUCUGAAACUGGAGUUGUAUGGUGCUGACCUCCCUUUGAUGAAGUUGUGCAAUCAACUACUAGGGAGUUUGGUACAGGAUGGCAUACCAGAAGUGGCAGGAAGGCUCUCAUCACUUUGAAGACAGCCAGCAGUUCUAGAAAACUUAUAUGUAACUGUGCCUGUUGAAGGGUCCGCUUGACCUGAAUCCAAUGUCCCCCACAGUGGGCGCCCCAGCCCCGCAGAGAAGUUUCUGUUGUUAACCAGACAGGAGAAGUCAGCAUCUGAAAAGGAACUCCUUCCAACAGAUUCCUGUCAUUCAACCAGCGGGCAUAUCUCACCACUGGACGCCAUGGGUCUUUGAAUGAGUUGAGCCGGCUGAGAUGGAUGCUGUUGGAAACUGAGAACCAGGUCCCUGAUGCACUUGAAGUGCUCAAGAUGAACUCACAAUAAAAAACUUUUACCGAUGAGGCGUGACAGCCCAAGGACUCAAUGCAAUGACAGUCAGAAAAAAACUGAAGAACACGGUGGCAGGGCUUGGUCACCUCAACGAGCUGCAGCAUUCUACUGUGAGGGUCCUGAGCAGGCACAGUACUCAUUCUUAUGGAUCUCAACAGAUCUCGAUCCAGAUUGUGUGCUUUACUACUGAGAUACAGGCCCUUCCCAAGCACACCAUGCAACAAACAAGACUUUUGCCAUAAUUUAAGUAUACUCUCAAGGAGGGCAACCCACAUACUUAGUGAUUUUCAGCUGGGCAGCCAAAUGUGCAUAUGAUGUUGCACUAGUAAAUAUGUUCCAAGGAUGCAUGGCUUCUUGUUUGCAUAAGAACUUGUUUAAUAGAGUUAUCCCACUUUAUCCUUAAAACCAUCCCAUGAGGUAACUUUAGGCUGAAAGACAGUGACUUUCCAAAGCCACCCAGAAAACUCCAUGGAUAAGCAGAAUCUGAAUUUGUAUCUCCCUGGUUCCACUCUGGCACCCUAUUCAUUACAUCAGAGUGUAUCUCUGCCAAUACAUAGCGGAGGCCUUCUGGAUACGAAAACCAGACACUUACAGGUGAAACUCGGAAAAUUAGAAUAUU